rnacentral:rRNA from 1 species
GAUGAACGCUGGCGGCGUGCCUAACACAUGCAAGUCGAACGAAGCACUGAGAGUUUGAGAUUUCGGUCAAGAACUUUCUUUGACUUAGUGGCGGACGGGUGAGUAAUGCGUGAGCAACCUGCCUUUCAGAGGGGGACAACAGUUGGAAACGACUGCUAAUACCGCAUGAUAUAUUCGGAUCGCAUGGUCUGGAUAUCAAAGAUUUAUCGCUGAAAGAUGGGCUCACGUCUGAUUAGUUAGUUGGUGAGGUAACGGCUCACCAAGACUGCGAUCAGUAGCCGGACUGAGAGGUUGAACGGCCACAUUGGGACUGAGAUACGGCCCAGACUCCUACGGAAGGCAGCAGUGGGGAAUAUUGGGCAAUGGGCGAAAGGCCUGACCCAGCAACGCCGCGUGAAGGAAGAAGGUCUUCGGAUUGUAAACUUCUUUUAUCUAGGGACGAAGGAAGUGACGGUACCUGAUGAAUAAG